UGGGAUCGACCAGGGACUGGAGAAACAAGGGUUCACCCUUGUUCUUGCAAAAACUCAUCAAUUAGCAAGAGAAUUCCAUGAUAAUCAGCUUCAUGUUUUAAAUUCUCGAUCUACUAAGCAUACCUAGUGAAGUGGCGUGAAGGAAGAAGGCUCCAACACUAGGAAGUCAGAAAGCUCACAAGACCGAGGUACGUUAGUGUACAUCUUACUUCUAUUAUGUUGUCAUAUGUAUAACAAUCUUCAUUGUAUUAUAUUGUUAUGUUGGAAUCAUGAAAGUCAAACUAUAUAAUAUUGUUGAAAGCAAAGUUUAGAAUCGUCAUAUACGGAUGGAGAGAAAGAAAUAUGAUAGAUGGAAAUGCUUUAUAUCCGAUUCCUUCUAGUCGAAUCAGGCGACUUGGCAAGUUGGAGCGAGCAUACGUACACUUUAUGACCAUCAAGCGCUUCCGCUAGUUCGUAUCAAUGUUUUGGGUUAAAUGUGCGUUUUGUAUAACUUGUUAGUAGUCGUACUUUUAAACACUUGAUGUUAUGGUUUUUAGUCGUGUCAGGUCGAACGGGAUUGUAGACUUAGUUGUUUUUGAUGAUGGUUAAACAGGGGUAUGCUCGUCAUAUGGACGGGUCAUGCCCAAAUUUUGUUAAAA